GCUUUUGAACUAUUUAGGGUUUUUAAUCACGAGCAACAUGGAGUUUGAAAAUUGGUGAAAUCUUCGCGGGCGAAGACAAUAUUUGGGAUUCUCCGUAGGUUAUGUUACCCGAAGUUGGAAGAAGACCGAUGCUGGGUGGGAGAACGAGGGUUCUUCGUUCGGGGAUGAGUUUUGAGGACGAGAUAGGAGUUUUGCUCCGAAAAACAAUGGAAGGCAAGAAGCCGACGAUUGGAAAUAGGGGAAAGGUUAAUGGGGCUGGUUGUAAUAGUAACACUGUAACAGUGGGCAUCGAUCAUUGUUCUCUGUCUCCUGGGUUUGAGCCUAGAAAGCAGGAGAACCGCGAUUUUGGGCCUGAGAAUUUCUUUGAGCAUGGACUCCCAUCACAGAGGAGAGAAUUAGCAGAGAAGCUCUUUACUAACAUUCUGCCGCUUAGCUUACAGAUGUAUGCUUGCCAUGUUAUCCAGAAGGCGAUUGAGGUUGUUGAUUUGGAUCAGAAAAUUAAGAUGGUGAUGGACAUGUAACGCGAUAUGUCUGUGAUCAGAAUGGGAACCAUGUGAUUCAGAAGUGCAUCAAAUGCAUGCCUGAAGAGAAUAUUCGAUUUAUUGUCUCGACCUUCUUUGGUCAAGUUGUGACCCUCUCCACUCACCCAUAUGGAUGUCGCGUUGUUCAGGCUUUACCUUCUGUAUUAUGUUAUAUUUUGUUGUAUAUGUUAUAUUUACAUUUUUAUGCCCUUACGCUAAAAUGCGGGAACUGCUCCUGAAUGAGAUGCUGGGCACGAGAAUGAGUCUCUUCAGGCGAUGAUGAAGGAUCGGUUUGAAAAAAACAUAUGAUGAUCAACAGUGUGAAUUGAUGCUUUCUCGUAUAAAAGUACACAUACGGAUAGCAUAUCGUUGCUCGUGUUGAAAAACUCAUUGCUGCUGGAGAGAGGAGAAUGGCUGCACAGAGUCCAUGAACCAGGCUCAGUUGGCAUAAGGCCUCAAAGACUUGUACAGCUAACUUACAGUAGAUGGCCACUGCUGUCGUGUUUCGGAUUAGGUAAGAGCUAAACAAAAAUGUUGGGACAGUUUAUAAACCAGAAACAAAGUUUGUUGCUUUGUUCUGCCGAAAUCUGUACAUUGUGUAGUUUCUUAAGGUUUUACCAGACAUAGAGGCCAACAAAAUCCACCCUUUGAAGAACUAGAUGGGUUAUAUGCCGUGGUGUAAAGAUGGGUUGAGAAUGGGGAGCUUAGGUGUUUUCCUUUUCACAUGUUACAUGUACAAAGACUGGUUAAUGCUGAUCUGGUGGUCGUGCUUUUUGGUCUGAGGGCGGUUAGGGUGCUAAUCCCUGUAUCAUAUUUCAUGAGUAUAAUCCAUUUCAAGAGCACAA